rnacentral:rRNA from 1 species
GAUGAACGCUGGCGGCGUGCCUAAUACAUGCCAGUCGAGCGAACAGAUGAGGAGCUUGCUCCUCUGACGUUAGCGGCGGACGGGUGAGUAACACGUGGAUAACCUACCUAUAAGACUGGGAUAACUUCGGGAAACCGGAGCUAAUACCGGAUAAUAUAUUGAACCGCAUGGUUCAAUAGUGAAAGACGGUUUUGCUGCCACUUAUAGAUGGAUCCGCGCCGCAUUAGCUAGUUGGUAAGGUAACGGCUUACCAAGGCAACGAUGCGUAGCCGACCUGAGAGGGUGAUCGGCCACACUGGAACUGAGACACGGUCCAGACUCCUACGGGAGGCAGCAGUAGGGAAUCUUCCGCAAUGGGCGAAAGCAUGACGGAGCAACGCCGCGUGAGUGAUGAAGGUCUUCGGAUCGUAAAACUCUGUUAUUAGGGAAGAACAAAUGUGUAAGUAACUAUGCACGUCUUGACGGUACCUAAUCAGAAAGCCACGGCUAACUACGUG